UAAGUGACAGCAAUUGUUGACGACGCCCAGUUAGUUGGUUGUGAGUAGUUCUCUGGCUUUUUAUUUUUCCAUGUACGUUUUCGCGAGUACCCACCGUAUAUAUGUAAUAUUGGUGUGUGACUAGUGGACAACUAGCGUGACACGGUAUCAUCACCAUUAAUACUUCAAAUAUACUAAAUAUAUUAUAACAAAAAGCAUCUGGAUUUUGUUCGCCCAGAUAUUUAUAAUAUAAAUAAUAUCUAAAAACAGUUGGUGAAUAUGCAGACGAUAAAGUGUGUGGUGGUUGGAGAUGGUGCUGUGGGUAAAACUUGCCUGCUGAUAUCCUACACGACGAACAAAUUUCCGUCAGAGUACGUUCCUACGGUUUUCGACAAUUAUGCGGUCACUGUAAUGAUUGGUGGAGAGCCAUACACAUUAGGAUUAUUUGACACAGCUGGUCAGGAAGAUUAUGAUAGACUGCGACCAUUGAGUUAUCCACAAACAGAUGUGUUUUUAGUUUGCUUCUCAGUUGUAUCACCUUCUUCGUUUGAAAAUGUCAAAGAAAAGUGGGUACCAGAAAUUACUCAUCACUGUCAAAAGACACCAUUUUUAUUGGUAGGAACUCAAAUAGAUUUGCGAGAUGAUGCUGCGACUAUUGAAAAGCUCGCAAAAAAUAAACAAAAGCCGAUUACUGGCGAACAGGGUGAAAAAUUGGCAAAAGAAUUGAAAGCUGUUAAAUACGUGGAAUGUAGUGCAUUGACUCAGAAAGGGCUGAAGAAUGUGUUUGACGAAGCAAUUUUGGCAGCGCUUGAACCGCCUGAGGUUGUGAGAAGAAAAAAGUGCGUUAUUUUGUAGGGAGUUUUAGACACCUUAUUUUUCUUCAAAUUGGCUUGCUGCGCCCGUUUAUUGGCGAAUCUAUUAUAUAAAAACGAAAAAAAAAAAAAUUAUCAUCAUUUGUAAGUUGCUUAGAACGUAUAAGCAGGCAAGAAUCUUCGGAAUCGUCAUGUCAACACAUUUAAUAAUUAUUAAUUGAUAAUAAUGGAAUUAAAAGUAAAUAAUAAUAACUAAAAGUAAGACCUACUGUGAAUGGUUUUAAACUUGGGAUGGUAAUCAUCCUUGGUACAUACAUUCUUCAAAUAUUUAAUAAAUUAAUAAGGCAUUUUUAAUGAUAAGUUACUAAUGUGAAUUUUUUAAUAAAUCGAUAAUCGAAAA